UACGGGGGGUGCAAACGUUGCUCGGAAUCAUUGGGCGUAAAGCGCACGUAGGCGGUUCGUUAUGUCGGAUGUGAAAGCCCUUGGCUUAACCGAGGAAGUGCAUCCGAAACUGGCGAGCUAGAGUACUAAAGAGGAUCGCGGAAUUCCCGGUGUAGAGGUGAAAUUCGUAGAUAUCGGGAGGAACACCGGUGGCGAAGGCGGCGAUCUGGGUAGAUACUGACGCUGAGGUGCGAAAGCGUGGGGAGCAAACAGGG
rnacentral:rRNA from 1 species